GACGAACGCUGGCGGCGUGCUUAACACAUGCAAGUCGAACGGAAAGGCCCUGCUUUUGUGGGGUGCUCGAGUGGCGAACGGGUGAGUAACACGUGAGUAACCUGCCCUUGACUUUGGGAUAACUUCAGGAAACUGGGGCUAAUACCGGAUAGGAGCUCCUGCUGCAUGGUGGGGGUUGGAAAGUUUCGGCGGUUGGGGAUGGACUCGCGGCUUAUCAGCUUGUUGGUGGGGUAGUGGCUUACCAAGGCUUUGACGGGUAGCCGGCCUGAGAGGGUGACCGGCCACAUUGGGACUGAGAGACGGCCCAGACUCCUACGGGAGGCAGCAGUGGGGAAUAUUGCACAAUGGGCGGAAGCCUGAUGCAGCAACGCCGCGUGCGGGAAGACGGCCUUCGGGUUAUAAACCGCUUUCGCCUGUGACGAAGCGUGAGUGACGGUAAUGGGUAAAGAAGCACCGGCUAACUACGUG
rnacentral:rRNA from 1 species